rnacentral:lncRNA from 1 species
AUGAAUCACGUGCGUGAUGAUCCAAAAUGAAGGGAGUAAUAAUGAAGUGGGGGAGAGCAACAUGCUAACUAGAGUGGGUGGAGGUACAUGGAAUCAUAGCAGCUGGAAAAGCAGGGGCAAAAUUGGAAAGCGGGCAGGGAAAGCAAACAAGCUCACAUGCCAGAAAGCGUAGAGAGGCGCACAUGCGAUGCCUUGAAAACAGAAAGCGUCAUUCCUAAUUUCAUGCCCCAAUUUUGGGUCCCUUUUUUUUUUUUUUUUUUUUUCUAUUUCUACUAUCCUCAUCCACUUAUCCUCUCCCACACGCACUCCCAAACUAACCCCCACCAUUUAUCUCAAUUCAAUAAAUAUUUAAUGUAAUACUAUCAUUUACUUACUAACAUUUAGUGUAAAAUUGGGAUGUCGAAAAAUGAUAGUACUAGUAUUUGGUUAUUGUUAAAUGUUAAUGAUGACCUUCAAGAUUUUGAACACACUAGUACUAGUCAUAAUUAUGUGACCGAGUGCUAACAAAUCA